rnacentral:rRNA from 1 species
CCUACGGGUGGCAGCAGUGAGGAAUAUUGGUCAAUGGGCGCGAGCCUGAACCAGCCAAGUCGCGUGAGGGAAGACGGUCCUAUGGAUUGUAAACCUCUUUUGUCGGGGAGCAAAAGACGCCACGCGUGGCUUUCCUAGAGUACACGAAUAAAAAGCAUCGGCUAACUCCGUGCCAGCAGCCGCUGUAAUACGGAGGUGGCAAGCGUUAUCCGGAUUUACUGGGUGUAACGGGCGUGUAGGCGGGAAAGCAAGUCAGAUGUUAAAACCAUGGGCUCAACCUGUUGACUGCAUUUGAAACUGUUUUUCUUGAGUACUGGAGAGGCAGACGGAAUUCCUAGUGUAGCGGUGAAAUGCGUAGAUAUUAGGAGGAACACCAGUGGCGAAGGCGGUCUGCUGGACAGCAACUGACGCUGAGGCGCGAAAGCGUGGGGAGCAAACAGGAUUAGAUACCCCUGUAGUC